rnacentral:rRNA from 1 species
GAUGAACGCUGGCGGCGUGCCUAAUACAUGCAAGUCGAGUGAACAGACGAGGAGCUUGCUCCUCUGACGUUAGCGGCGGACGGGUGAGUAACACGUGGAUAACCUACCUAUAAGACUGGGAUAACUUCGGGAAACCGGAGCUAAUACCGGAUAAUAUAUUGAACCGCAUGGUUCAAUAGUGAAAGACGGUUUUGCUGUCACUUAUAGAUGGAUCCGCGCCGCAUUAGCUAGUUGGUAAGGUAACGGCUUACCAAGGCAACGAUGCGUAGCCGACCUGAGAGGGUGAUCGGCCACACUGGAACUGAGACACGGUCCAGACUCCUACGGGAGGCAGCAGUAGGGAAUCUUCCGCAAUGGGCGAAAGCCUGACGGAGCAACGCCGCGUGAGUGAUGAGGGUCUUCGGAUCGUAAAACUCUGUUAUUAGGGAAGAACAAAUGUGUAAGUAACUAUGCACGUCUUGACGGUACCUAAUCAGAAAGCCACGGCUAACUACGUG